GUGUGCAUGGCAUAGUGGUUUGAGCAUUGACUUUGACUCUGAUGACCAGGGUUCAAUUCCCAUUUCAUCCA
rnacentral:tRNA from 1 species